rnacentral:rRNA from 1 species
UACGUAGGGUGCGAGCGUUGUCCGGAAUUAUUGGGCGUAAAGAGCUCGUAGGCGGCUUGUCACGUCGGAUGUGAAAACCCGGGGCUCAACCCCGGGCCUGCAUUCGAUACGGGCAUCACUGGAGUUCGGCAGGGGAGACUGGAAUUCCUGGUGUAGCGGUGAAAUGCGCAGAUAUCAGGAGGAACACCGGUGGCGAAGGCGGGUCUCUGGGCCGAUACUGACGCUGAGGAGCGAAAGCGUGGGGAGCAAACAGG